rnacentral:tRNA from 1 species
GCGGUGUACCUCAGCUGGUUAGAGGACCCGGCUCAUAUCCGGGGCGUCCGGUGUUCGACCCACCGCACCGC